rnacentral:rRNA from 1 species
AUGGUGAGCAAGCUCAACAAGGUCACCUGGCCCAAAGGAAGAUUUGUAGACACCGUCAAGGUGUGGCAGCAGGAGUGGUUCUACAAACCCCACGGCACCAAGUGGGCCCCCGCUCCUGCCUUCAGAUCAAGACCUCUACUGUGGCUCGCAUCCUGGACUAACAAGGGCCUAGAUUGGGGGUCCCUCGACGAUGUGUCGGUGCUGCAACAGCGCGUCAAGAGCAUGAUAAACAAGGACAUCACCCUUGCCGAUGUGAUUCAAGUGAUGCUCAUCCGCCAAAUUCUCUCCUACCAACGACGGGCCCUUAAAAUGUGGGAGUUCAACCUGGAGAGAGCAUGGACUCUGUGGCACUUCUAUGGCAUGACGCACAAGAAGAUCUGGAAGCUGCUUUUCAAGAAGAAGAAGACGUGGCCACAGACGUCUGACGACACCGGGCCCGACUGCAACAAUCCGGCCUCCCAGACUGGGUAA